UGUUAACUGUUAACUCAAAGCUUGAUCAAUAAUCCGUCAACUCAAAGCUGUGACUGCAUUUUAUUGGUUCAAUAAUCAAGAUCCUAAGUAACUAUGUUUUGUCAGAGUGAUCGCCAAUUAAUAUUCAAGGUCUUGCAUUAAAUUAUAAUGGAUGAUCAUAUGUAUCUGUUAUGCUUUCAUAAUUAAGAGUAUCUCUGAAACUCCAUGUUCCUCUC
rnacentral:sRNA from 1 species